UACGUAGGGGGCUAGCGUUGUCCGGAAUCAUUGGGCGUAAAGCGCGUGUAGGCGGUCCGGUAAGUCCGCUGUGAAAGUCGGGGGCUCAACCCUCGGAUGCCGGUGGAUACUGUCGGGCUUGAGUCCGGGAGAGGUGAGUGGAAUUCCCAGUGUAGCGGUGAAAUGCGUAGAUAUUGGGAGGAACACCAGUGGCGAAGGCGGCUCACUGGACCGGAACUGACGCUGAGGCGCGAAAGCGUGGGGAGCAAACGGG
rnacentral:rRNA from 1 species